rnacentral:lncRNA from 1 species
GUGGCAGUGGGCGUGCAGGAGAAGCUGUAGGUCGGGAGGUAGAGGUGGCAGUGGGCGUGCAGGAGAAGCUGUAGGUCAGGGGGUAGAGGUGGCAGUGGGCGUGCAGGAGAAGCUGUAGGUCGGGAGGUAGAGGUGGCAGUGGGCGUGCAGGAGAAGCUGUAGGUCAGGGGGUAGAGGUGGCAGUGGGCGUGCAGGAGAAGCUGUAGGUCAGGAGGUAGAGGUGGCAGUGGGCGUGCAGGAGAAGCUGUAGGUCGGAGAGGUAGAGGUGGCAGUGGGCGUGCAGGAGAAGCUGUAGGUCGGGGGGUAGAGGUGGCAGUGGGCGUGCAGGAGAACCUGUAGGUCAGGGGGUAGAGGUGGCAGUGGGCGUGCAAUAGAAGCUGUAGGUCGGGGGGUAGAGGUGGCAGUGGGCGUGCAGGAGAAGCUGUAGGUCAGAGUGGAGAGGUGGCAGUGGGCGUGCAGGAGAAGCUGUAGGUCAGGGGGUAGAGGUGGCAGUGGGCGUGCAGGAGAAGCUGUAGGUCAGGGGGUAGAGGUGGCAGUGGGCGUGCAGGAGAAGCUGUAGGUCAGGAGGUAGAGGUGGCAGUGGGCGUGCAGGAGAAGGUGUAGGUCAGGAGGCAGAGGUGGCAGUGGGCGUGCAGGAGAAGCUGUAGGUCGGGAGGUAGAGGUGGCAGUGGGCGUGCAGGAGAAGCUGUAGGUCGGGAGGUAGAGGUGGCAGUGGGCGUGCAGGAGAAGCUGUAGGUC